rnacentral:piRNA from 1 species
UGGCCAGGACUUGAUGGUAACUGACAGCUU